rnacentral:lncRNA from 1 species
GGGAUAGCCAUUGUCCUGGGAAGGAACCUCUGCCAGUGUUUGGUUACUCCAAGACGUUCCUGGCCUUUCACACACAGUGUAGUAGAUCCCAAUGCUGUGUGGCCCAGAGCCAGGCUAAACUGUAGUAUCUGGGCGUUUGGUCUGGCCUCUUGAUGGCUGGCUGAGUGGGUGCAGCCAUCUUGCCCGUGGUCCAGGUCCCAGCACUGACUCACUGGGUUCUCUCCCUUCCCCAGGUCCAGAGCCAAACCUGGUGGUGAGACCCUCCCUGGAAAGCCUGCUGGCGGCCAGCAGCCACAUGCUGAAGGAGGUGCUGGAGAGCCCCUUGUCAGACUCCCUCAAGAACCUGAGGCUUCCACGAGAACUGAACUCUAACAAGAAGUACAGCUGGAUGCAGAAGAAAGAGGAGCGGAUGUUUGCUAUGAAGUCUUCCUUGGAGGACAUGGAUGCGCUGGAGCUGGACUUCCGGAUGAGACUGGCAGAGGUCCAGCGACGGUACAAAGAGAAACAGCGGGAACUGGUCAAGCUCCAGAGACGCCGGGACUCGGGGUGAGUCUCUCCCCAGUUUUCGCCCCAUCCUGGAUAGCUGGUCGGUAGGUUGACUUUGGUAGUGGUUAGGUGUGUGCGUGGACCCAAGUGCCCCACUCCGCUUCCCGCCCACCCCAGGUUCCUAGCCGAGCCUGUGAAUUCUUUUUAAGGGACAGGCACGAGGAUGCCCAUAGAAGCC